AGUUUUAAUUGACCGCCUCCCUCCUCGCCAGCCGUUGUUUGUCUUAGACUGAUCGAAAGACAAAACCUACUGUUUACAAACGGGUAGCGACUUUCUGUGCCAAUUUUCUAGAAACGGGUGCCGUGGACGUUUUUUUAAAAAUAAAAUUAUACAAUCGAAAGGCAAAAGUUUAUUUUUUAGACCGUGAUGAGUGAAUUGAAUCUGCGUUCCGAUCUACUUUCACCGACACGUUCCGAAAACCCUUUCUGAGGAUUGAACACUCGUGACAAAGUGAGAGGUCAGUGAGUCUGUUCACUCGGAGUAAGGUUAAAAUACUUAAAACUUAAAAAGCCAGUCGGACGGCCAAAGCCAGACGGGCUGAUUGUGACUGCGAGUGUUUCUGUGACCGACCUAUACUGGAUACGACAAAACGCCUGCAUGUCUUCCAGUUCUUAACAAGCACUCGAAUAUUUUCCUUUUUUAAAAACAACAACCGAAAUGUCAGCUUAGUUUCUCCAAAGAAUUUAAAUAAGGUAAAAUGGGGGACGAUGGAAUCGACUGGCUGUAUGAGCUCCUUGAGGCGACGCAACUGGAACAGUUCCUCUCGAGAAUUCGAGAUGACCUUCAGAUUACCCGGCUAUCCCAUUUUGAUUAUGUCCAACCUGAGGAUCUUGAAAAGAUUGGGAUGGGACGGCCUGGUGCUCGGCGACUCCUCGAAGCGGCAAAGAAAAGGAGGGGAAGCCAGUGGCGGAAGAAGUUGAACAGGUUAAUCCCAAGUACAAAUCAGACGUCUAAAGGCACCUCGGGAAAAAGGCCUGUUGAGGCCGCUGAACCGUCUGGUCUCACAUGUCUAAUCCAGGAAAAAAACAUCAGCCUAGGCAAGAAACUUGGCGAUGGGACUUUCGGAGUCGUACACCACGGUGAAUGGACAACUCCUUCUGGCAGGACGAAGGCAGUUGCAGUUAAAGUCCUCAAAAAAGAUGCACUUGCGCAGCCAGGACUGUUUGAAGAUUUUAUCCGGGAAGUACAAGCCAUGCACUUAUUAGACCAUCCUCAACUAAUAAGACUUUUUGGCAUUGUUUUGAGUAAACCUUUAAUGAUGAUCACUGAACUCGCUCCUUUAGGAGCGCUUCUAGACUAUAUAAGAAAGCAAGUCCAUGAAAUUUCAGUGUCUAGACUGUGGGACUAUGCUACUCAAGUAGCCAAAGGCAUGGCAUAUCUAGAAUCAAAACGCUACUUACAUAGAGAUUUAGCAUGUAGAAAUAUAUUAUUAGCUUCUGUAGAUCAGGUGAAAAUUGGAGAUUUUGGCCUUGUCAGAGUUAUUCCAGAAGAGGCCGAUUGUUAUGUCAUGACAGAACAUGCCAAAGUGCCUUUUCCUUGGUGUGCCCCUGAAUCUUUGAAAAGGCGGCAGUUUUCUCACAAGUCUGAUGUUUGGAUGUGGGGCGUUUCUGUCUGGGAAAUGUUCACCUUUGGUGAAGAACCUUGGAUAGGUCUCAAUGGGACGGAGAUACUUAUUAAAAUUGAUAAAGAAGGAGAAAGGCUGGCAAAACCUGAAGCUUGCCCUUCGUGCCUUUACACAAUGCUUCUUGAGUGUUGGGAUAAAGAACCCGUGAAUAGACCAAGUUUUUCUGGAAUAUUUUCUUUCAUGAUUUCUGAAACACCACCAGUAUUAAAAAGCAGUUCGGAUUGGGCGCCACCUGGUCCAGGAACCAACUGCCCCGGCGAAAUGCUCCAAGUUUCUGCCGGUGAUAGUCUAGUCGUAAUAGAAGCCUUUCCAGAAAUGUACUGGUGGAAAGUACAGUCACAGUUGUCUUUCAAAGUCGGAUAUGUGCCAAGAUCUAUUUUAGAUGGUGGGAAAAUAGCCAGUGGGGACAUCAGUUUGCCGCUUGACAAUUCUUUCAUCCAUACCGGCCACGGAUCGACGGGUGGCAAAACGUGGGGUUCACCUGCUUACAUAGAUCCUGUUUACCUUAACAAUCCAAUGGCGCCACCGGACCUUAUGGGCUAUCCUAAGAAAAAGAGUGGAACAAAAGUCAAACACACUUCAAGUUUAAACCUCCAGCCACAGAAACAGUUUUCAUACAGAAAACUGAAAGCGGAGAAUCAGUUGAGAAGUCAGAGUGACAAAAGAGAGAGAAAAGAUUUGAAAAUGUUGCCUGUUAGGCCGCCGCAGCCCGUUUUUGCACAGGCGAACCAAGAACCACUCAUCGACCUGGGUGAGUCGCUGGACGAGCCGAACCAUCAGCCCCUUAAUCAUCGCCAAAGUUUGAUCGAUGCUCCCAUCGAUCUUCUAGUUCCUGAGGGAAUGUCUUUAUUAGACAUGCCAAUUGACUCAGUUGAUGUUCUAUUUGAAGUCACACAGAACAGUUGGGAUACACAGCAAGAGAGGGCAGAAUCACCUGACCCAUUUGAUACGUCCAGGGUCUUCACAGGUGCAUCUCAGCAGGCCCAGUCAGCCCAGCCUACCAGCUCCUUCAUCGCAGAACUGGAAACAAGGAUAGGAGUUAUGCAUAAUCUCCCCCCGAAACUGGAUCCACCGCCUGGAUCGGUUCGCAACCGUUGGGCACAGAAAGACAGUAAUGUUAAAGUUGAAAGAGAAAGUUCAUUGCCUUAUGGGAGCCUUGAAACAAACAUUUACACCAAAAACUUCCCUGAGUGUAACGGUGACAUACAACCGUCUUUGCACCAUUACAACAGUUUUGAGAAUGUCAGUCUACCCCCAUUACCACCAGAAGUGCCAGAGAGUGCCCAGCCACGUCAACCUUAUUAUUCACAGAUACCUGAGUAUGCCAAGUUGCUAAUCCCUUCGCAACCUCCUGUCCAAGAAUCCCAGGGGACUUACGCAAAUAUCAUCGAAUCGGAGCUCAAUGAAAAGCUGAGCCAGAUCUGGCUAAGCUCUGGGAGCCUUUCUGAACAAUCCAAGGUGCAACUUCAUAACCAGGUUAUAGCCGAUAUCAAAAAGAAAGCCCAAGGAAGGAACCUGUACGACCCAGUUGAGGCCAAUUACCAAAGAGUCAUUUAUCAAACUCAACAGCCACAGUAUGAACAGUUAGUCAGUGACUUGAUGUCUUUAGUCGAAGGAGCUACGUAUGAAGAGUGUUACAAUGCUUUGGCUAACACUUCCGGAAGUAUCUACGAUGCACUAAAGUUUUUGAAAGUGGAGCGAUUGUUAAGGCUGGGUUUGGCAUCGAGGCAGCAGUGUGAAAAGGAGCUUGAAAAAUGUCAGUGGGAUGUCAUCGUUGCCGCUUCCCAACUUCUCGACAACACCAGAAGUUAAGCUUGGUUAAUUAUUAGUUCCAGUUUUUUGUUUUUGGUUUUUUGAAAUAAUUUAUAUAAGUAUAGUUUUAUUGCUAAAUUUUCUAGGUGCAAUUUUAAGUAUUAUACAAAUCGUAAAUGUACCUUGAUCAAAGUGUCCCUUUCUUUGUCAUGAAUACUCGGCUAGUUAUAUCGAAACGUUUAUCUUAUAUUUUUGUAAAAACGGCUGUUGUUAGAUGUUAGGCAACAUUUUUAAUGAAUUUAUCGAUUGUCAAUCUUUCUUCCAACAAAAAAUGAAAAAAAGACUGAAAUAAUGAACGGUUGAUAUGGAAAAUGGUUUUCCUCAAAAGUUGCCUUAUAUUGAAAUAUUUUUAAGUUUCUUUACUGUACAUGAGGUAAAUGUUAACGCACUAAAUUGACAUGACAAAAGCUUUAAAAUAUAGUUACAUAUGUAUAAAAGUUAUUUAAAAAAAGUUUAAUAUAAAAUGCAAAUUAAACUUAUUUUGAAACAAAUGUAAUACGAUAAAAAUAUAUUUAUAAAUAAUUACCAUGCGGAUGAGACUUGAUAUCAAAAUAAAAAUUGUUAUUAUUAAUGUUUAUUUCAUAUUUUUUAUCCCAUAUCAAGAAAGGUUUGAAUUGGUUUUAGUUACCAAAGAGGAUUAAAAUGCGAUUGGUAAUACUUUAAACAGUAUUUGUAUUUACAAAUGAAAAUUCUUUCUUAACACAAAUCUUCCAGUCACAGUUACCCAGUCUUUCCAAUUAUUAUUAUCAAUCUGGUAAACUAUUGAUAUAACCUAUUGUUAAUUGUUGUAUUUAGUUAGGGUUAAUAAGACAAAAAAAUCACUGUUAUGUACAGGAAAGUGCACUGUUUUUUUGUUUUGUUAGAUAGGCUGGCGUUUCUGUUAUGUGUCAGUGUUUAGAACAGCCAAAAUCCUUAUGUCCAAAAUAUGUUUUUUAAGUUCUAUUUUGUUUAAUAAAUCUUGUAAUUUAAAAUUAAGUAUGAUUUGUGAUAUAAAUACAAAAGGAGAUAUAGUGAUGCAACCUCUGGACUAUUAGUUACUAGGCAAAAUGUCAUCAGUUUGGAUUGAGUGAUAUUGCUUUUAAAAAAAAAUUUAAUAAAUUGUUCACUAAUAAUAUAAUGAAUACAUUCACAAUGGAUAGGAACACCCUCAUCAUACAUUCAUACCCAUACAGUUACCUUUUGCAACAUUAGCUGUUGUAUUUGGUUAAUUUUGAUGACCACUCACAGGGAUGGCUACAGACGUGGAUCACUUAUUUCAAUCCAUUUUUUUGGUGAUUUCCAGGGAAUGGAAAUUUUAUCAGGCCUAAGAGCUGAGAAAAAGAUUUAAAGUAAAUUUUGUAAAAUAUUUUCUCCUGCUGUUGCGUCCGUGUAUUUCAAGGUUAUCAUUCAUAUAUCAGUUCUUUUAUGUAGAACAGAACAUAAAGCGAUUAAAUACGUAAAAAGUUACAAAAAACAAAUGGCACUAGUGAAGUAGAAACAAAAAAAUCAGAUUCAUUUCAAGCAUCUUUUAAUACCCUUAUGUACAAAUUUUCAAUGGUAAUAAAAAGAAAUAGUCAUUU